rnacentral:rRNA from 1 species
UACGGGGGGGGGCAAGCGUUGUUCGGAAUUACUGGGCGUAAAGGGCGCGUAGGCGGCCGCCUAAGUCAGACGUGAAAUCCCUCGGCUCAACCGGGGAACUGCGUCUGAUACUGGGUGGCUUGAAUCCGGGAGAGGGAUGCGGAAUUCCAGGUGUAGCGGUGAAAUGCGUAGAUAUCUGGAGGAACACCGGUGGCGAAGGCGGCAUCCUGGACCGGCAUUGACGCUGAGGCGCGAAAGCCAGGGGAGCAAACGGG